GCCUGCCCUGUGACUAUGGGUUUAACGGCCGCGGUAUUUUGACCGUGCGAAGGUAGCGCAAUCACUUGUCUUUUAAAUGAAGACCUGUAUGAAUGGCAUCACGAGGGCUUAGCUGUCUCCUCUUCCAAGUCAAUGAAAUUGAUCUGCCCGUGCAGAAGCGGACAUAAGUACAUAAGACGAGAAGACCCUAUGGAGCUUUAGACACCCGGCAGAUCACGUCAAAAACCUUGAACUAACAAGUAAAAACGCAGUGACCCCUAGCCCAUAUGUCUUUGGUUGGGGCGACCGCGGGGGAAAAUAAAGCCCCCAUGUGGACUGGGGGCACUGCCCCCACAGCCGAGAGCUACAGCUCUAAGCACCAGAAUUUCUGACCAAAAAUGAUCCGGCAAACGCCGAUCAACGGACCGAGUUACCCUAGGGAUAACAGCGCAAUCCUCUCCCAGAGUCCCUAUCGACGAGGGGGUUUACG
rnacentral:rRNA from 1 species